GAAACCAGGGUGCACCGUUUGCUUUAGGUACCCAAACACAUUGUUAAAAGCCGUCUGAUAACGCUUAUGAAUUAGCACUUUGUUUAUCUGAAGCUUGAAAGGCAUAGUGAGCAGUGAGCAUCUGCUUCCCACAGGAUCUUUUCUUCUGCUGGUUGAUCUGAAUAGAGCGUUGUUGCCAUGACAACAGACGAGGCGGAGAGUCACCAGAAGAAGCCGAGGCAGCAGGAGGAAGCUGGCCAGGACCCCAGGCCACCCUCACCGGAGGAGGAGCACCUCCGGCCUCGCAACCGCAACUCUGCCAGCCGUGGCCUUUCUCGCCUCUUCUCCUCCUUUUUAAAGAGACGCUCACAGUGUGAGAGUGAGGCGGGAGAGAAGGAGGACAAGGAAGAAGAAGCUAAAGCCCCCAUUGCAGACCCAGAACCUGAACUGAGGACCGAGGGAGAGGUCGCUUUGGAUCAGCACUCAGUGAGCAGUGCUGAGGCUCAGGCUGUCCAGGUAGAGAAGAAAGAAGCUGAGGAGAGGGAGGGUGGAAAGGACGAAGAGAACAACAAGGACAAAGGAGAGGAGGCUGCCCUGGAGAAGGACAAGGUGGAGGAGAAGGAGAAGGAGAAGGAGGAGGAGAAGAAGUGUGGUCCUGAAGGAGGCAGUAAAAGAGAGGAGGAAGAGAAGACCACAGAGGAGGAGGAGGCCAAAACUCCCAGAGCUCCACGCCGACCCAAAACCAUGGAGAUCAAAGUCACCCUGCUGGAUGACACUCUCUAUGAGUGUGAGCUGGAUAAACAUGCUAAAGGCCAGGAGCUGUUCAUUAAGGUGUGUGACCACCUUAACCUGCUGGAGAAGGACUACUAUGGCCUGGUCAUCUGGGAGACGCCCACCAUGAAGAUUUGGAUGGACCUAACCAAGGAGAUCCGUAGGCAGGUUCAAGGUGCCAAUUAUAAUUUCACAUUCAAUGUGAAAUUUUAUCCACCUGACCCAGCCCAGCUCUCUGAAGACAUAACAAGGUACUACCUGUGUCUCCAGCUGCGGAAGGACAUCCUUCAGGGCCGCCUUCCCUGUUCCUUUGUCACCCUGUCGCUGCUGGGCUCCUACGCCCUGCAGUCAGAGCUAGGCGAGUAUGACCCAGAGGUGCAUGGCGAAGAUUACGCUAAAGAUAUGAAAAUGGCCCAGGGUCAGACCAAGGAACUGGAGGACAAAAUGAUGGAGCUGCACCAUACAUACAGGUCAAUGAGUCCAGCCCAGGCAGACCUGAUGUUCCUGGAGAAUGCCAAGAAACUCUCCAUGUACGGAGUGGACCUCCACCAGGCCAAGGAUCUCGAUGGUGUCGACAUCAUGCUGGGGGUUUGCUCUAGUGGCCUGAUGGUUUACAAGGACAAACUGAGGAUCAACCGUUUCCCCUGGCCCAAAGUCCUCAAGGUCUCGUACAAACGCAGCAGCUUCUUUAUCAAAAUAAGACCAUCUGAGGUGGAACAGUAUGAGAGUGCAAUUGGCUUUAAACUGCCCAAUUACAAGGCAGCCAAGAAGCUUUGGAAAGUGUGUGUAGAACAUCACACUUUUUUCAGGCUGACCUCCACUGAGAUGGCGACCACUCCUAGGAAGUUCCUGGCAUUGGGCUCUAAGUUUCGCUACAGUGGUCGGACUCAGGCUCAGACCAGACAGGCAAGCUCUCUGAUCGACAGGCCAGCUCCUCUGUUCCAGCGCUCCUCCAGCAAGAGAAACUCACGCAGCCUGGAUGGAGCCAUGGCAUCUACUCCUGACAACAAAUCCACUCGUCCGGUCAGUGCCCCCGUGAUGUCACCAGUGUCUCCCGGGGAGGCAACUCCUUCACCUCUGCUACCCACCUUGGCUCGCUCUAACCAUCGUGAUGGCUCCACACCCAAAGGCCACCGCUCUGCAGACAGGAAGACAGAGGUAAAGGCAGAGAGUCAGCCAGCUGAGCUUACGAAGAGCCACAGCCCCAGACCCACUCCACAGAUCAAGACAGUGGCCAGGAGAGAGCGGAGGCAUUCCCCCUCUGUAACCACUGCCAAUGGAGAAAGAGAGAAAAAAAGCCAGCACUCUCCUCAGGACAAAACAAAGACGGAGGGGGUGCGAGUGAGGAAGAAAAGAGCAAAGAAACUUGAGGGUGAAACUAUUUAUAUCAGACAUAGCAAUUUAAUGUUGGAGGACCUGGAUAAGACCCAGACUGAGAUCAUGCGUCACCACACUAGCAUCAGCGAGCUGAAGAGGAGUUUUAUGGAGUCUGUACCAGAGCCUCGACCCAGUGAGUGGGACAAGCGUCUGUCCACCAACUCCCCCUUUCGCACAGCGAGCAUCAAUGGCCAGCUGCAACCAGCGUGUAUUUGAACCCUUUUACCGGUGUUUCAUCCGGAACUACAGCCAGGUUGCUGCUCCUCUGCAUGCCCUCACCUCCUCAAGCUCCAAGUUCUCCUCGUCCCCUGAGGCCGAGGCACCUUUCCGGGGCCUCCUGUCCAGGUUCUCCUCAUAGCCUAUCCUGCAGAUGCCCGACCCCAAGCUCCAGUUUAUUGUCGAAGUGGAUGCCUCAGGUGUGGGGGUUGGGGCUGUCCUUUCCCAGCGCUCUGCUGAUGACAGCAAGGUUCACCCCUGCGCCUUCUUCUCCUGGAAGCUUUCACCUGCCAAACGCAACUAUGACAUGGGGAACCGUGAGCUUCUGGCAGUGAAGUUGGCGUUGGAGGAGUGGAGGCACUGGCUGGAGGGGGCGGAGCAGCCGUUCCUAGUCUGGACUGACCACAAAAACCUGGAGUACAUCUGUGGAGCUAAGCGACUCAACUCCAGGCAGGCUAGGUGGGCCUUGUUCUUCACCAGAUUCAAUUUCACUCUGUCGCCCUGGGUCCCGCAACAUCAAGCCAGAUGCCCUCUCCCGGCAGUUUGAGGCAGGAGACCGCCCUCGGGAUGCAGCUACCAUCCUGCCCCCAGACUGCGUUGUUGGGGCGGUGACUUGGGAUGUUGAGAAGGAGGUCCAGUGUGCACUCCCAGAGACCCAGAUUCCUGAUGGUUGCCCUCCUGGUCAGCUCUUCGUCCCAGGCCCACUCCGUUCCCGAGUCCUGCAGUGGGGGCACUCUUCCCAGCUGAGCUGUCAUCCCGGGCAAGGUCUCCCAUAGCCCUCCAGCCAGUCUCCUGAGGCCCUUACCUGUUCCACACCACCCCUGGUCCCACGUGUCCAUGGACUUUGCCACAGGC